GGGGAAUAUUGGACAAUGGGCGCAAGCCUGAUCCAGCCAUGCCGCGUGGGUGAAGAAGGCCUUCGGGUUGUAAAGCCCUUUUGUUGGGAAAGAAAAGCAGCCGGCCAAUACCCGGUUGUUCUGACGGUACCCAAAGAAUAAGCACCGGCUAACUUCGUGCCAGCAGCCGCGGUAAUACGAAGGGUGCAAGCGUUACUCGGAAUUACUGGGCGUAAAGCGUGCGUAGGUGGUGGUUUAAGUCCGUUGUGAAAGCCCUGGGCUCAACCUGGGAACUGCAGUGGAUACUGGAUCACUAGAGUGCGGAUGAGGUAGGCGGAAUUUGUGGUGUAGCGGUGAAAUGCAUAGAUAUCACGAGGAACUCCGAUUGCGCAGGCAGCUUACCAAGCCGUAACUGACGCUCAAGCACGAAGGCGUGGGGAUCAAACA
rnacentral:rRNA from 1 species